UACGGAGGGUGCAAGCGUUAAUCGGAAUUACUGGGCGUAAAGCGCACGUAGGUGGUUUUCUAAGUCGGCUGUGAAAUCCCCGGGCUCAACCUGGGACUUGCAGUUGAAACUGGGAAGCUAGAGUAGGGUAGAGGGGUGUGGAAUUCCAGGUGUAGCGGUGAAAUGCGUAGAUAUCUGGAGGAACAUCAGUGGCGAAGGCGACACCCUGGACUCAUACUGACACUGAGGUGCGAAAGCGUGGGGAGCAAACAGG
rnacentral:rRNA from 1 species